rnacentral:lncRNA from 1 species
GCAGGCAACUACAUCUCAGCUCAUGGCUGACAUCACAAUUACUACAUUUUACAUAUGCUGGCUAGUCCAGAUACCCUUCAAUUAGACAUAGUUUAUCAUUUUGAUUUGAUUUCGAUAUUGGACUAUUUAUAAUCAUGCUCGAGCCCAUAACAGGCCAAAACAUCUUAGUCUGUAGUUGAUAUGCCACAUUUCACAUACACAUGGCCGACUAGUCCACAUGCUCCAUGCUU